AAAUUUUAUUUUACCUUAAGAAUUCCUAAGUAUGCAGCAGAGAUGUAAUUUAUCCUGCUCUCAUCACAAUCUUCUAGCUUAAUUUUUCAGAAGCAUCUAGGUAAGCUCUUUUUCAUUCCUGCAGGUUUUUUUUUUUUCAAUGGCUUCAGCUCAGGAAGACUGGCACCCAGCAAAAUUUUCUUUUACUUUUCUUGACAGUGUGGUUAUGCCAUCUGGAAGAUCUCCCAUCUGGUUCUCUGCAGCUUCCAGCUGGCUCUGUGUCUGUAUCCUGCUCCAGUUGUACCUGCAUAAUGUCUGUUACUGUAAUUUCAUUGUGCUCACCUGCAUGUCAGAGAAUUGGGUCUUAAAGGCCUUAUUUAACCAUGACAUUUAAACAGGUUCUUUAUCCUGAUUGUGAGGACUGAUAUGUCUGUUGACUCCUGCAGUCCUUAUCUGGCAAAAUCAAAAAAGCAGCACUAGUGCUUAACCUCAGUGACCAAAACAGGGCCUUUAUCAUCAAGGCAAGUGACUUAGCAGGACUGCUCACUGAAGUUAUUCUUCUUCAGACUGUUAUGGGAAAUACUACAUUUUGUACUGAUAGUUCUUAGAUAAAGAAGUUUCUGGGUGUAACUGUUACUGGAGUAAUAUCCAAAAGUGUAUUCAGGCAAAAGUCCCUAAACUGUGUUCUUGGAUCCACCCUGGCAGCGCCUUGAGAUUAUGGCAGGUGAAAAUGUUGAGCAUGUUGCAGGACCUGAUUAGUUGUUUGCAUGCAACUUUAGCAUAAAGCUGUUACCCUCCCUUUGCUUUGCAGAAGAAUAUUUUCAAUUUUUUUCAUGAUUCUUAAACCAACUGUAAAUGCUGGUGGUUUAUAGUGCUGGGACUCUGUUAUGCAGGGAUGUUGGUGGGGAAGUUCGUCAGUGAAUUCUCAGAAAGGCUUAGAAUGAGCAGUGUUGGGAAACCUGAGCCACCAGCUGUCUCUUUAAGAAUUUUUUUCUAAGUUUGUUGUAAUUUCCAGUGGUGAGAAUUAAUUAAAUAUAAAAUUAAAUGGAUUGUUAUGGAGCUUAUAGCAUCUGAAUAAAACCAAAUACGAAUGAUUCGAUUUUUCAUAUAAAGGACUUCUUCCAGGAAUAUUUGAUUUUUUAACUGCAGUCCUCACUAAUUACUACCACUCUGCUUGGGAAAAAUAAACUAAAAUAGUAGUUUUAAAUCCACUUCACUAUCCCUUCCUUUUAUUUUCUGUUUGCUGUUAUAGUGCCUUUGUUGUGUAGUCCCAUCAACACACUGCAGCAACAGCAGGACAUUGUCUUCCAAAUAAAGUUUUGCUGAGGAAUAUAAUUUUCUGACAGUUAAUAUUUGGGUUUGUUGCUCUUUUAGCCCCUCCUUUUGGAGCUGUGGCUGUUCUGCCAGCUUUGGGUAAGAGGAGUGUGUGUUUGUAUGUCUGUGUGUGUGUGUAAGAAGGGAAGUGGGUUAUCCUUUUUGGUACCACUGUGUCAGUAUAUUGGACAUUUCAUUGUUGUUUAAAUUGAUAAAAUAAAUAUCUCCUGUUUGAUAACAUAAAAGGUGGUGUUUUUUAGAUUUUAUCUUACAAUUUAAGGCAGCAUGUUUCAGUACUAAAAAAAAAUUGUAUUUCUAGUAAUAGCAUUUUAUAUUCACUUCAAAGUGCUGUGGAUUCAAAUUAAGUAGUGUUAGAUUUCAAUAAGAUGACAGGGCUUUUGAAUGGCAACUGUUCUGUUUUAUUGUUCAGUAUUGAUUUAUAUUUUCAACUGAAAACAGCAGUUUUGAACAAGAAAGCAAUAGCAAGCUAAACUGAAAUAUUUUAAAUUUUUAUUUCUUUUUUUAAUCAAGUGACUUUGUGGAAAGCUAUGUUUUGCAGUCUCCAAAAUAUUUAAGUUGCUGCCGUGUGAACUCAUGUGAGAGAAAGAAGACAGAGAACUCCAGUGCCUCAUUCUAUAGUGUGAAAUGAAGUUUGUGGGUGGACUUUUCACAGGGCUGCAUUAUGCUUUGUCUCCAUGUGACAUGCUGGUUAAAUGGACAGGACGAGCCUUUGUAGUUUUGCAAUGUCCCAUUGUUAUUUAGCACAUAAGAACAGCUCAGUACUGGUGCAGCUGUUCAUAAACUGGUGAUUGGAAAACCUUGUUCAGGGCAAGAUGGAAAAUGCUAUAUCAUAAUCCUGAGUCUUGAAGAUGCUUCUGGCAAUGUGAAACACUCCCUUUCCUUAAAAACAUUAUUACCUCUAAUUCUUGUUGUGUGAUGCUGCAAAUGGAGACAGUACUGAGCAUCUAUUAGCAAUUCAGAUACACAGGGCUGAGGUUGAAGUUUUGAUCUUUUAUGCUCUCCGAGGAUCUCUGAAGAGUACUUUUCGCCUGGGGGUUUUGCACAGCCCUAUUUUGUGAGAAAUGCUGAGCUCCCGUUUCUUUUCUUUCUGCUUUGCUGAGGGUGGGGUUCUGAAAGCCUGCUGAAAACUUCAGUUGUAGCCUGUCUUUUUGAAGUAGUUGCAUUUUAAGUACUUUGUGAUCUGAAAGUAUUCUAAUUUCCCCCGGAAUAACAAGCACCUUCCUCUAACGGUAGGCGAGAGGUGACUAGCUAACAACAUUUUUCACACACACUCCCCAACUCACGUGAAAUCUCACACCCCAGGGUACCAGAACUGUUCCGCACUUCUGAUUUGGACAUUAACCUCUUAUUUUAGGAAGGAAGGAAGGGUUUGGGCUGAGCUGUGGAUUUGGGAUGUUUGCAAGAAGGCUGGGGUGUAUAAACCAAUAACUAGAUGUCUUACCCUGUUGCAGCUGCCAGUUUGCAUCAGGGUCUCCUGAGAACUUUUGCUUUUUGUAGAGCCCCAGAGAGCUGGUGCCAUACAGGGAGAGCAAACUGAAGGGUCAAGAGGAUGUCAAAUAUGUGCUCACCUGAGGUGUUUCAAGUGUCCUGGAAAAACCAUAAAAAGACACUAGGAUCUGACACCUUCCUAUAUGUCUUGCCCAGGCUGUGGAGUGGGGGGAGCACCGCUUUGUGACAUUUGAGCAUUGAUCCUGAGAAGUCUACAUAUUUGGCAGGUCAGUUGUUGGUGGUUUGAAAACUGAGUUUUCCUGUAUACUGGAAGGCUGGCUUUCUGGAUACUCACAGGUUUUAUCAUGGUCAUUGAAAUUCAAUAUAAGAAGACAAAUCUGUCCUUGAUAUUAUUUACUCAUAGGUGCUUGUUUAAGGAAGUAGCUAUCAUGGAACAACGUGAAAGUAUCAAUAGGCAUGUUGAUCACAGCAGAGGCAAUGCCACACAUACUUUUUUCUGCUGAAUGCAUACAAAUGCAGAACUCAUGACAUUCUCUGUUGCGCUAGCUGCUGUAUAAAAGAUUAAAGCUUGGAGCAGUUUGUUUAAUUAAUUCCAGUGUAGCAGAGUCCAUUGCUAGUAUGUGACCAAAGGCACUGAAACAAAGGGUGAUCUUCAGAACAUGUUAACUGCAGGAGAGCGGGGGCGACUUUCACAAAGGUCACGGAAAAGGGUCCGUCCCAGCUCAGUGGGUAAGUGAUCUCCCUGUAGGAGAGAGCAAAUGCUGCUUUUACAUACAUGAGGAUCUUAUUUGCUCAUGAUGUGACAGUACAAAGGACAAUCAAAAUGAGUUAAUGUAUUCAUUCUUUUCUUCUUUCUCUUUCUUGAUGAGUCAUAAUUACUGAAAACUAAUAUAUUUUCCAACAUCAAAAUAUUUCAUUGGAUUAUCAAUAUUCUAGUGUACUCCUUACUCUUUCAUGUUCAGAAUAUGAAGGGGCUUGCUAGACUACAGCUUCCCAUAUUUCAUUAAGUAGUUUAUGCGUACAUGGUACUUUUCAGAAAAAUUAAAUAGCUAAUCUCAAAACCGAUAUUGUCAGGGUGCAGUGUAUAUGAAAUGGUAUGUUACACUGUCUUACCUUGUCAUUAUUUUCCCCUAAUGAAAAUCUAAAAAACCCCAAAAACCUAAAAUCAUUAAAUGAUUAUUUAAUAAUUUUACCAACAAAUAUUCUCACAUAUUGUGUUGUUUGUUGUUUUGUUUUGUUUUUUUUCCUUACAAUCAGAAAAUACUGCCUACAAAAACCCUGUUGCUCCUUUUAUCUCUGCACAGGGUCACCUGAAAUGAUCUCAGUAUUUCCAUACAAGUGGUAAAAAGCUGCUCUUUCUAGUGUCAGACUUCCUUUCUAGUCCAGCAGUAUGUGCAUGGCUGGCUGAAUUUCAAUACCAUGCAUCCUGAAUAUGCAGGCUUUGUGCAGAAAAUGAUUGACUUUACUGUUGGCAUCAAUGUGUGAAAAGAAAGUUUUCUUAGAAGCUGCCUGACAUGUCACCUAAAGUCCCUUAAAUUACCAUAGAACUGAGAGAACACUGACCUGCAUUUUGCAGCAGCACCCUUGGUACAGCAGUACUGACUAUUGGCUGGUACUGCAGGCAAGACGCACAGCCUGUCAGCUCCUCACAACCUGCUAGAAGCUAGAGUGUGGAAAUAGGGACACCAGCUGCAUGUUCCUACUGGAUUUUGGCUCUUCUCCAGACAGGUACCCUGACCUCUGCUGUGGAGCCAGUCCAGCUGGCUUACUUCAUGUAAAGUUCAAAGUCUGCAUCAGAAAGACAUAGGCAGGCCACAGACUGAGUCUAAAACAUGGUUUUGGGCAUUGUCCUACAAGGUGGUGGAAGAAAUGUGCUCCACUGCAUUUAGGCAGAAAAGAAGGCUGAGUCCAGCACAUCACACACUGUGUGCAAGGACUCUAACUCUGGGUAUAAAAAUCCUUCCCUUCUGGGUGGUGAUAAAAAAGGCUCACAAAAUGCUCAGCUUCGCUGGUCCAGACUAAGGAGGUUGGGAAAGCCUGCUUUUCAAAUCUCAAUGGUGUUUAGUUAUGGCUUAGAUCGAGCUGAACCUUAGACACAUCUGCUCAAUAAUAAAAAGCAAAGGCACAUGGGCAUUCUUGAGAGCCCGGGAAGCAGUUUGUGGUCCCUGGAUAAGUGAGUGCAGAUUUGUCUGUGGCCACACAACCAUGGACUAGCUCCCUCUUUAGCAAACUGGCCUGGGCCUGUGCCCCAUGUAUUGCCAUGGGAGCCUUAAAUCCAAAAAUUAUUUUUCAGAUGCUUUUUAAAGCUGUGUCGUUCAGCUCUGCUGAGCAUGUGCAAUUGAGGAGACUAAGAGGAAAACUGCAAGUUGCCAGCAUAGUGAGUAUGGGACAGGUUGUAAAAGGUAACAGGGAAGGGCUAAAUCCUCUGUGAGUUCAUCGUGGAUUUAGCAGUGUUUCCAAAUGUGUCCAAGUUCAUUUGCCUGUUGACCUGAUGUUGGAAACAUGCAAAUAAAAUAUAUUCACUUUCUAUGGCAGCACAGAAUUGCAAAAACUCAUCUGAUACCAGUGAAAUAUGCUUAGCCAUUGAGCUUGCCUUUAAUUCAUUAUGAAAUAUAAUCAUAUUCUUAUAUCCACUGCAUACACCAAAUUGAGCUGUUUUAAAAAACAGAAGCCCAAAGAGACACUUGGCAGUUUCUGUUGGGGAUUAGUGGUAGCGCUGACAGAAGAUGUCACAUCUUAGCCUGGACCAUUCUUUUUACCCUUUGCUUAGCCUCUGUUUGACAUAGC